CAUGCUAGAGCACUUUUUUAAUGUGCUCCCCAACGACAAGGCGACGACGCAUUCAUACAUCAAUGUAUAUCAACUUUCAAUGCCAUUUACUGCGCCUACCAUGGUGACCACGGGUAACAGGGAAUCAGGGUUCGAUUCCGUACAAGGACCAUGACAAACGGCUACCACAUGCAAGAAUGGCAG
rnacentral:rRNA from 1 species